rnacentral:tRNA from 1 species
GCGAGAGUAGCUCAUUAGGUAGAGCGCAAGCUUCCCAAGCUUGAGGUCGCGGGUUCGACUCCCGUCUCUCGCUCCA